GAGGACUUGAGUCCCAUACCCCUGGAAUUUGCACCAUCCUGCACCACCGCACCCGAAGCCCUGCGCUUGCAGCCCCCUGAGGAUCUGGAGUCCCGCGUCCCCUCGGCAGUGGCGGAAGCCUCCACAGUCCAGGCUGCCUGACUGGGUGGAGAGCCUCGCCUUCCUCCGCUCCGCCCGCGCCAUGGCUGCCCCCGACCUGUCCACCAACCUCCAGGAAGAAGCCACCUGCGCCAUCUGCCUAGACUAUUUUACGGACCCGGUGAUGACAGACUGCGGACACAACUUCUGUCGCAAAUGCAUCCGGCGCUGCUGGGGCCAGCCCGAGGGCCCUUAUGCUUGCCCUGAGUGUCGCGAGCUGUCCCCGCAAAAAAACCUGAGACCCAACCGUCCGCUCGCCAAGAUGGCUGAGAUGGCUCGGCGCCUGCACCCGCCAUCGCCAGUCCCUCAGGGCUUGUGCGCAGCGCACCGCGAGCCACUGGCUUCCUUUUGCGGCGACGAGCUGCGCCUGCUGUGUGCCUCCUGCGAGCGCUCAGGGGAACACUGGGCGCACCGUGUACGCCCGCUGCAGGACGCGGCUGACGACCUCAAGGGGAGGCUGGAGAAGUCACUGGAGCACCUGCGAAAACAAAUGGAGGAUACACUGCUGUUCCAAGCCCAGGCUGAGGAGACCUGUGCCUUGUGGCAAAAAAAAUGAUAGAGAGUCAGAGGCAAAAUGUGCUGGGUGAGUUCGAGCGACUACAUCGUCUGCUGGCCGAGAAAGAGCAAAAGCUGCUGCAGAAGCUAGAGGAGGAAGAGCUAGAGGUGCUGCCCCGGCUGCAUGAGAGUGCCACAAGACUUGGCCAGCAGAGCGCCCAACUAGCUACACUCAUUGCUAAACUUGAAGGCCGCUGCCAACUGCCAGCGCUGGGGCUGCUGCAGGACAUUAAGGACUCCCUACACAGGGUUCAGGACGUGAAGCUGCAACCUCCAGAGAUGGUACCUAUGGAGCUGAGGACCGUGUGCAGGGUCCCAGGGCUGAUGGAGACCCUGCAGAGGUUUCGAGGGGAUAUGACCUUGGACCCAGACACUGCCAACCCUGAGCUGGUCCUGUCUGAGGACAGAAGGAGUAUGCAGCGGGGUGAGCAGCGGCAGGCCCUACCAGACAGUCCUGAGCGCUUUGACCCUGGCCCCCGCGUACUAGGCAAGGAACGCUUCACCUCGGGCCGCCAUUACUGGGAAGUAGAAGUUGGUGACCGUGCCAGCUGGGCCCUGGGUGUUUACAGAGAAAAUGUCAACCGGAAAGAGAAGGGAGGGUUGAGCAAGCCCAAGAAGUACGUGCAAGAUGUGCCCUGCUUGCUUGCCAAAUGA